CAAGGACAUUGCUUGAAAAGGUCAAUUGCAUGUCUGUAAUUAUUCAUUUGUUUUUCAUAUGAUUGUCUCUUCCCGACGCCAUACUGCAAUCUUAUACUAGUAUAGAAGAUUUAAAAAAUCACGUGUGUACAUGUUCUGUUAAACAGAUGUGGAUGAAGUUGAGUAACCCUGACGGUUAGCAUAUCAGAAAUCAAUCAAUUCGUUAUGGACUAUGCUAAACCCUUUGUGGAAAAAAUGUACACCGCCCAUCAAAAAUUUAAAGGUCUCCUCCAAAAUAAGUGGAUUAAACUUUCACACUGAACAUUUUUCCAUUCAACAAAUAUUUUAGAAAAUAUUUCAGGUAUCAUGUCUCGGAGCUCAGAAAAACAGGAUGAACGAUGAUCAAGAAGUGAGGACGGGUAGUUUUUAAUGAGUGUGAAUUUACCUUUUGGAUUUUCAAAAGUAUGUUCAAUCAGCGGUAACAAGUAAAUAAUUUUGAUAUAGAAAAUUGCAUAUUGAAUUGUUAUUCAAUCGUUUGUACAAAUAUUUUCUAAAUUUAUAAGAAAAUGAAAUCUACAAAUAAUUUUAGUAAUAUA